GCAAGUCGAACGAGAAGGUACUUUCGGGUACUGGACAGUGGCGGACGGGUGAGUAACACGUGGGAAUAUGCCUUUCGGUACGGAACAACGCUUGGAAACGAGUGCUAAUACCGUAUACGCCCUCCGGGGGAAAGAUUUAUCGCCGAGAGAUUGGCCCGCGUUAGAUUAGCUAGUUGGUGAGGUAAUGGCUCACCAAGGCGACGAUCCCUAGCUGGUCUGAGAGGAUGAUC
rnacentral:rRNA from 1 species